rnacentral:rRNA from 1 species
GACGAACGCUGGCGGCGUGCUUAACACAUGCAAGUCGAACGGAAAGGCCCUGCUUUUGUGGGGUGCUCGAGUGGCGAACGGGUGAGUAACACGUGAGUAACCUGCCCUUGACUUUGGGAUAACUUCAGGAAACUGGGGCUAAUACCGGAUAGGAGCUCCUGCUGCAUGGGGGGGGUUGGAAAGUUUCGGCGGUUGGGGAUGGACUCGCGGCUUAUCAGCUUGUUGGUGAGGUAGUGGCUUACCAAGGCUUUGACGGGUAGCCGGCCUGAGAGGGUGACCGGCCACAUUGGGACUGAGAUACGGCCCAGACUCCUACGGGCGGCAGCAGUGGGGAGUAUUGCACAAUGGGCGGAAGCCUGAUGCAGCAACGCCGCGUGCGGGAUGACGGCCUUCGGGUUGUAAACCGCUUUCGCCUGUGACGAAGCGGGAGUGACGGUAAUGGGUAAAGAAGCACCGGCUAACUACGUG